rnacentral:rRNA from 1 species
UACGAAGGGUGCAAGCGUUAAUCGGAAUUACUGGGCGUAAAGCGUGCGUAGGUGGUUUCUUAAGUCUGCUGUGAAAGCCCUGGGCUCAACCUGGGAAUGGCGGUGGAUACUGAGGAGCUAGAGUGCGGUAGAGGAGGGUGGAAUUCCCGGUGUAGCGGUGAAAUGCGUAGAGAUCGGGAGGAACAUCAGUGGCGAAGGCAGCUCGCUGGGACGGUACUGACGCUGAGACGCGAAAGCGUGGGGAGCAAACAGG